CACGUGGGGAACCUGCCCAUGAGAGGGGGAUAACAUCCGGAAACGGAUGCUAAUACCGCAUACGUCUUUGAACCGCCUGGUUCGAAGAUGAAAGACGGCUUCGGCUGUCGCUCAUGGAUGGCCCCGCGGCGCAUUAGCUAGUUGGUGAGGUAAAGGCUCACCAAGGCCAUGAUGCGUAGCCGACUUGAGAGGGUGAUCGGCCACAUUGGGACUGAGACACGGCCCAAACUCCUACGGGAGGCAGCAGUAGGGAAUCUUCCACAAUGGGUGCAAACCUGAUGGAGCAAUGCCGCGUGAGUGAAGAAGGUUUUCGGAUCGUAAAGCUCUGUUGUUAGUGAAGAACAAGGGAAGUAGUAACUGGCUUCCCCUUGACGGUACCUAACCAGAAAGUCACGGCUAACUACGUGCCAGCAGCCGCGGUAAUACGUAGGUGACAAGCGUUGUCCGGAUUUAUUGGGCGUAAAGCGAGCGCAGGCGGUCUUUUAAGUCUGAUGUGAAAGCCCACGGCUCAACCGUGGAAUGGCAUUGGAAACUGGAAGACUUG
rnacentral:rRNA from 1 species